rnacentral:rRNA from 1 species
GCUUGCUGAAUCCGGUGCUGACGAGCGGCGAACGGGUGAGUAACGCGUAGGAAUCUACCCAGUAGCGGGGGAUAGCCCGGGGAAACCCGGAUUAAUACCGCAUACGCCCUAAGGGGGAAAGGGGGCAGCUUGCUGCUCUUACUAUUGGAUGAGCCUGCGUAAGAUUAGCUUGUUGGUAGGGUAAUGGCCUACCAAGGCAACGAUCUUUAGCUGGUCUGAGAGGACGAUCAGCCACAUUGGGACUGAGACACGGCCCAGACAUCUACGGAUGGCAGCAGUUAAGAAUAUUGGACAAUGGGGGCAACCCUGAUCCAGGUAUACCGCGUGUGUGAAGAAGGCCCUAGGGUUGUAAAGCACUUUAAUCAGAGAAGAAGCAUUUUAAGUUAAUACCUUAUUGUGUUGACGUUACCUGAAGAAUAAGGACCGGCUAACUCCGUGCCAGCAGCCGCGGUAAUACGGAGGGUCCAAGCGUUAAUCGGAAUUACUGGGCGUAAAGCGCGCGUAGGCGGUUUAGCAAGUUGAAUGUGAAAGCCCUAGGCUCAACCUAGGAACUGCAUUCAAAACUACUGAGCUAGAGUACGAGAGAGGAGAGUAGAAUUUCUGGUGUAGCGGUGAAAUGCGUAGAUAUCAGAAGGAAUACCAAUGGCGAAGGCAGCUCUCUGGCUCGUCACUGACGCUAAGGUGCGAAAGCGUGGGUAGCAAACAGGAUUAGAUACCCUGGUAGUCCACGCCGUAAACGAUGAGAACUAGCCGUUGGACAGAUUUAACUGUUCAGUGGCGCAGCUAACGCAUUAAGUUCUCCGCCU